AUAAUAAUAGUAGUAAUAAUGGUAAUCAUAAUGCCCACUUUGGUAGGGAUCUUGAUGGAAUUGAUAAGAUAAGAUACACGAAUGUGUGCCACUGCCACUACGGCUCAAUCAUUAUAAUCAACAAAGGAGGAAGCAGUGAAAAACUUUCCUUUGGGUGAACACCUUUCAAGGAACUCUCAACAAAGGUCAGUGUCAUCAUCUGUUUUUUUAUUGUCAAAAGUUGUUCAUUCCAAAUCUUGCUUUAGGCUUGUUAAUUUCCUCAUCAAAUGGUAGGUUUAGGUGUUUUAACCAUCAUGGUUGUGAUGGUAAAGCAACAAUAAAGAGUUUUCUCACUUUGAUGCACACUUCUAUCAAUCAUAUGGAUAAAGGAGUGGUUUUCCACUUGUAUUCUGGGAUCAUGUAAGGUAAGAUGUUGUGGUUUUUCAUUUGGCAGGUUUUUGGCUUUGUUUGUCAAUGGCUGUUUCAGCACAAUCCAUCAAGACAGUGAAUUGGAGAAUGAUAUUCAUGCACUGGUUUUGGUGCUGGCUUAUCUCUGGUCCAAAGUUAAAGACCAGUUUCUUGAUCUAAUCAAGAGAUUGGCUUCUUUUGACAUAUGUUAUUUCACAAACAUAGAUCUGAGGGUUUAAUUCUUCACCAAAUGCUUAAAUCAAACGGUUUUGAUUAUAUUGGUUGACUGGUAAUUAGGUGUAUAGAUUUUGUGGUUUGAAAACUUGAAUCUGCUGAAUAGACAGUGUCAGAAGUUUUCCAACACUCCAAAGUCUGCUAGAUUCUGUUGUGUUGUGUCUCUUCAGUCUUGGUAUUGUUGUUGAGGUUAGGUUUUUGUUUUGUUGAAUAUUGAAUACCUACUCAAGGUUGUAAUAGGUACGUCAACAUGACUUCAUAUUUGUUUCUUUUUCAUUUUAUUUGGCAAAUUAGCCCUCCAAGACUUAAAUUUCUACAUGCAUCCUUUCAAAUUCACAUGUCCACUUUAUCGAAUUUGAGGAACAAAGUAAUCAUUAACAGCUUACCCUAAAGUCCAAUUUCAAUUUGUAAAUAAAGUCAGCAUUCAGCAAAGUUUUAUUCUCCAUGUUCACAUUACUUUAUUCUAUGAACAUUUCAAAAUCUCUCCAACCAAACACGAUCAACCUGGUACAUGGUUUGUUUGACUGUCCAUGAUACUUUCUGGUGCAUCUGAAAGAACACUGCAAUGAACAUUGACCAGAGUCAAGUCAGAAACCAUCAGCUUCCUAUGAAGCACUAUUGGUCUGACUACAUAGCCUUUUUUUUUACUUUUGAAUUUGGUGACAACUAUUUGUUGCUUUGGCUUUAAACUUUAAAUUGGAAUCGGUUCUGGAAAGUUUGAAUACAAUCCAAACACAUGGAGGAAGACAAGCAUGAAUAUUUUCAUGUGGUGUUAAUUCUCAAAUUUCAUUGUAGAAUUGAAAAACAAAGGACAGUGUGGUGUCUGUAAAAGGUUGAAUUGCAGGUAUCAUAUAGAAGGACAGUAACCGACAUGUUUUUUUUUGCAGGCACCCUCAGAAUCACGCAAAAGAGCUGCAAGGAUCUUUUUCAUUGUUGAGGUGAAAGAAAUUUACCUCACAACACAAUGUACUGAUACUCAUAUGAAAAGGGUGAAGCACUGAUUCCAAGUGAAAAUAAAGGGAAGUACCAGUUAAUGGUUGGUGCAUAAUUGGAGUGAAAAUGUGACUAAAAAUAUGAGAUUGAAAAAAGACAGACACAGUGAGCAGUAUAUAAUUAACUAAGACUCAUACUUCAAAUGUGUUUGGUUAUGCAGCUAAAUGCUCUUACACAUACAAAUAGGCACACAUUUUAAUGCUUUAACCACUAAAUUGUGAAAUUGUUUCUAAUCUUGUUUUCUGGUUUUCAAUUUUUUUUAUAGGAAACAGAUAAAAACUUAAUGUCUUAUGGUUUUAAGAAAUGAUAUUUUGACACUUUUCAUUUUAUGCACACCUACUUCACAAUGUUAUUAUAACAGUAGCUAAAUAUCAGUAGCAAAAUUUCUUGUAGUAGUGUAUGGAUGUGUAAGAAAAAAGCUUUUAAACUUCAUUAUAUAAGAGGGUUGUUAAUUGAUUCAAUAUGGAAAAGAUUUUCACAACAUCAUUUUCAUAUGGUUUGUGUCAAGGUUUGAGUGCAUUAUUUGUACUCAAGUGAGAUGAGAAGACCAGCGAGUCAGUGACAAUGGAACUCAUGCUUGUUUUUCAACACUUUCUUUUUCCUUGUUCUCAAUCACAUCAUCAAUCUUAUCUUUUUCUUCUCUUUUGUCUCUUUCUAUUACAUAUCUGUAGAAGAAAUUUGGAUCAUUUGGUUGUUACUGAUGGUGAUAAUUUUGCAACUUCUACAUGUUGAUGUGGUAAAAAUUUUAGUUAAUCCAAAAGUCUAUGCAAGAACAGGUUUUGUCAUCGGAUGAUGCAACUGCAGUUGUACACUUGUACUGUAUUUUCAGAGCUGGCAAGUUCAGAACUUUUGGAUGUAUCUUUGAACACAUGUACCCUAACAGUAUGGAACUGUGGUACCUAACAGCUUAUGGGAAAUAUCUUCCUAAAAUGUGUUUCUGUAUCUGAUUUAACACCUUCAUUGCUUCUCCAUGUGCCAUUGAUAAAUGAAGUAAACCUGUGGAACAUGAAUAGAACCUUUUAGUGGAAAAAAAAAUAGAUGCUCUGCAGAAACAUUGCCAAAUAGCUAAAAAUUCUCAAAAUUUGAUUAUAUUUAUACUGAGAAUAUGAUUCAUCUGAAUGUCUUAUAGUUAGGAAGGUAACAAAGGGUAUUUUUAUUAGGUAGUGAUAACAUGUAGUGCUAUAAGAUAUUCUAAGAACAAGUGUUUCACUGAAAUACUUAUAAAUGAGGACAUUACUGAGAAAAGUUCAUUAAUGUUUUCUUAAUCAUUGAAUAGUGUUAAUUUAGGUGGCUCAUUUGAGUUAAGUAAUUGUUUUUGCAUUUCCAUGAUCCUAGUUUAGUGAGACUUGGACACGUCUCUUAAAUGGUUUGUUUGUAUCAGACACCGACACUCGUAUGACACCUUAUCGACACCGAUACUCGUAUCACAUGAUAAAUAAUACAUGAUAAAAAAUGUAAUGCUACUUUGGAAUUCAGAAACAGUGAAGGGAACAGAACCUAGCUAGUACCUAGUGGUGGUGGUAGGUAAGAUUAUUACCAUGGUUUUGAAGGCUGAGUAUAUGAAAUCAUGUUACCGACCAGCAAGACCAGGAAACAGUGGUGUUGGCAGCAAAGGUCACUUUCAAUUAGUGUUAAAUCCCAAGGUUGAUAUGCAGAAAAAGACUUCUCAAGGAUGGAUAACUAGCCAAAUCUGGCUCAAACAGCGUCUCAUCAGGUUUCAAUGUCAUCCUCCUAUUUUCAUAUACUCAAAAAAAGUAAUUUUAGAAAGAAAAAAUAAAGUGUAUAAAUUGAGUUGGAGAAACAAUUUUGUAUAUUUUUUAUGAAUGAUUUUCAAUUCAUAUAUAAAUUAGGUUUAUUUUAUGAAAA
rnacentral:lncRNA from 1 species